rnacentral:lncRNA from 1 species
CGUUGAUGUUGUGAUGUGUGCACCCAAAACAAUGGGGUUUGGGGUCACCUGAGUGCCACAGAGGGGACAUUUGGGGACCACCAGACCCCCAUGUCCCAUUGGGUGUCCCAUUGUGUGUCCCCUCCCCAUAACGUGGCCAACCCCAUAUGGUGCCACGACACCGCAUAUGGGUAUCUCCAUGUUGGAUGGAUGGAUGGAUGGCGUUGAUGUUGUGAUGUGUGCACCCAAAACAAUGGGGUUUGGGGUCACCUGGGUGACACAGAGGGGACAUUUGGGGACCACCGGACCCCCAUGUCCCAUUGGGUGUCCCAUUGGGUGUCCCCUCCCCAUAACGUGGCCAACCCCAUAUGGUGCCACGACACCAACUAUUGGUAUCUCCAUGUUGGAUGGAUGGAUGGC